GACUGGCAUGCACCUGUGACUUACAUAAACCAGACCUCUACAUAGCCUACAUGUCUUCAUUUUGCUGAAGACUGCCCAUCAUCCUAGCCUGUUAUCUGUGAUAAAGCACACUGAAGUUAGGUUUGGAAUGCAUCCUUAUCAUGAAUGCUCUACACCUCCACCUCCAUCUCCCACAACCUAGGUAACAGCUUUGAGACUCACUAAAAGUUGAACCCCCUGAAUGAUGUAGGCUAUGGGGCCACAUAAGACUUUGUCCAUCCAGGGUUACAUUGAACGACAACUUUAAACUAAAAAACCAACAUUUUUCACACAACUCCAGGUUGUUACUAACAAAUUACUACUACAAGUGUCAUCAAGGGA